CCUACGGGUGGCAGCAGUGGGGGAUAUUGCACAAUGGGGGAAACCCUGAUGCAGCGACGCCGCGUGUGGGAAGACGGUCCUCUGGAUUGUAAACCACUGUCCCCAGGGACGAAGAUGACGGUACCUGGGGAGGAAGCUCCGGCUAACUACGUGCCAGCAGCCGCGGUAAUACGUAGGGAGCGAGCGUUGUCCGGAAUUACUGGGUGUACAGGGAGCGUAGGCGGGACUGCAAGUUGGGUGUCAAAUCUAGCGGCUCAACCGGUAGCCGCACUCAAAACUGCAGUUCUUGAGUGAAGUAGAGGCAGGCGGAAUUCCUAGUGUAGCGGUGAAAUGCGUAGAUAUUAGGAGGAACACCAGUGGCGAAGGCGGCCUGCUGGGCUUUUACUGACGCUGAGGCUCGAAAGUGUGGGGAGCAAACAGGAUUAGAGACCCCAGUAGUC
rnacentral:rRNA from 1 species